rnacentral:rRNA from 1 species
AGUGAACGCUGGCGGUAGGCCUAACACAUGCAAGUCGAACGGCAGCACAGUAAGAGCUUGCUCUUACGGGUGGCGGGUGGCGGACGGGUGAGGAAUACAUCGGAAUCUACUUUUUCGUGGGGGAUAACGUAGGGAAACUUACGCUAAUACCGCAUACGACCUACGGGUGAAAGCAGGGGAUCUUCGGACCUUGCGCGAUUGAAUGAGCCGAUGUCGGAUUAGCUAGUUGGCGGGGUAAAGGCCCAACAAGGCGACGAUCCGUAGCUGGUCUGAGAGGAUGGUCAGCCACACUGGAACUGAGACACGGCACAGACUCCUACGGGAGGCAGCAGUGGGGAAUAUUGGACAAUGGGCGCAAGCCUGAUCCAGCCAUACCGCGUGGGUGAAGAAGGCCUUCGGGUUGUAAAGCCCUUUUGUUGGGAAAGAAAAGCAGCAGGUUAAUACCCCGCUGUUCUGACGGUACCCAAAGAAUAAGCACCGGCUAACUUCGUG